rnacentral:rRNA from 1 species
ACGAACGCUGGCGGCGUGCUUAACACAUGCAAGUCGAACGGAAAGGCCUGCUUUCCCUUGUGGAUUGCGGGUACUCGAGUGGCGAACGGGUGAGUAACACGUGAGUGAUCUGCCCCCAACUUGGGUAUAAGCCUGGGAAACUGGGUCUAAUUCCCGAUAGGACUGCAGGGUGGUGCCUGUGGUGGAAAACGAUUUUCUAGUGGUUGGGGAUGAGCUCGCGGCCUAUCAGCUUGUUGGUGGGGUAAUGGCCUACCAAGGCGGCGACGGGUAGCCGGCCUGAGAGGGUGGACGGCCACAUUGGGACUGAGGUACGACCCAGACGCCUACGGGAGGCAGCAGGGGGGAAUAUUGCACACUGAGCGGAAGCCUGAUGCAGCGACGCAGCGUGGGGGAUGACGGCCUUCGGAUUGUAAACUCCUUUGGACCACGAGGAAGCCACCUGGUUGGAAGGGUGGUGACGGUAGUGGUAGAAGAAGCACCGGCUAACUACGUG